rnacentral:sRNA from 1 species
AACUAGCCCCGAUGGAAGCGGCAUCCUUUUUUUGUUUUCUGAUUCUCAUUUCUAUCGGAUUGACAAAUGUUGUGAAAACAAAAAAGAUAUAGUGGACAGUGGGAUAAAGG